AUCACUGCUAUCAUCCAAGAUGAUAAUUUCAAACUUCACUCCAAUGAGUGAAGUUUGAAAUUAUCAUCUUGGAUGAUAGCAGUGAU